rnacentral:rRNA from 1 species
GACGAACGCUGGCGGCGUGCCUAAUACAUGCAAGUCGAACGCUUCUUUCCUCCCGAGUGCUUGCACUCAAUUGGAAAGAGGAGUGGCGGACGGGUGAGUAACACGUGGGUAACUUACCCGUCAGAGGGGGAUAACACUUGGAAACAGGUGCUAAUACCGCAUAACAGUUUAUGCCGCAUGGCAUAAGAGUGAAAGGCGCUUUCGGGUGUCGCUGAUGGAUGGACCCGCGGUGCAUUAGCUAGUUGGUGAGGUAACGGCUCACCAAGGCCACGAUGCAUAGCCGACCUGAGAGGGUGAUCGGCCACACUGGGACUGAGACACGGCCCAGACUCCUACGGGAGGCAGCAGUAGGGAGUCUUCGGCAAUGGACGAAAGUCUGACCGAGCAACGCCGCGUGAGUGAAGAAGGUUUUCGGAUCGUAAAACUCUGUUGUUAGAGAAGAACAAGGACGUUAGUAACUGAACGUCCCCUGACGGUAUCUAACCAGAAAGCCACGGCUAACUACGUGCCAGCAGCCGCGGUAAUACGUAGGUGGCAAGCGUUGUCCGGAUUUAUUGGGCGUAAAGCGAGCGCAGGCGGUUUCUUAAGUCUGAUGUGAAAGCCCCCGGCUCAACCGGGGAGGGUCAUUGGAAACUGGGAGACUUGAG